rnacentral:lncRNA from 1 species
GGUAGCAACCCGUUUGGUUAUCUUUCUGUGCUGUGGAAGGUUUGUUCUUUCACUCUGCACUAUUUUGCAAUAAAUAUUGCUAUUGCUCACUUUGGGUUUAUAUUGCCUUUAUGAGCUGUAACACUCACCAUGAAGGUCUGCAGCUUUACUCUUGAAGCUUAGCGAGACCACUAACCCACCAGAAGGAAGAAACUCCGGACACGCCGCCUUUAAGAACUGUAAUACUCAGUGCGAGGGUUCACGGCUUCAUUCUUGAGAAAGACAACGAGGAGGGAGCAGCUAGAGGGGUGGAAAUGGGAUCACGUGACCUUGCGAGAAGCAGGGAGAGAGAACACUGCGUCUGCUCCCUUUUAGAACAGCUCAAUAUAGGGAAUCCCUAACAGAGGACUUCCAGGAUAUCCUAGGGACAGCAGAGCCUCAAGAUCCAGGGAGGAUCCUGGAUACCUGAGUCACCACUUGGAGGGGAAUCUCCUGGAAGAACUGAUUGAUCAGCAACAUCUACAUUCAACUUGAGGUUGUUCCGUAAGACAGGAUGGCACAGAGCUUUAAGCAACAGCUCUGGCAUCUGACUUCCGUGUUUGCAUCUGGCUUUGAGUGUGACUUUGGACAAGUUCCUUAGCUGGCCAGAUACUCUUGUCCUCAUCCAUAAGAUGGAGCAACAACGAAGCCUUUCUCAUAGGUUAUUGUGAGGAUUGAAUGAAUUAGUAUAUGCCAAGCAUUUGAAGCAGUGCCUGACAUGUAGUAGAUGCUGAGUAACACUGGGGAUCUGCCUUUUCUUUUUCCUCUAUGUGACUGGCAGCCUUAGCCAGACCACAUCAGCUGAGAUGAUUUUCUCUGUAAGUUACCAGGAUCACCUAGAUCUGGCCAAGGACUUGCCCCUGUAAGGAAAUUUGGAAUAAGCAAAAAAGAUCACUAGGUGUCGCCGAUGGAAAACUAGGUUGUUUUGAGCAUACCUUUGCAUGUUAUCUGAUUUUAGCCUUUCAGGGUCUUUGAGCUAUUUUAUGGCUCUGUAGGUUGUACAUAACUGAUAGCAAUGCAAAAUAAUUCUUGUCUAUAGACAUGCAAAUAAAUCCUGUCCAGCGGUUCAAUUGACUACCCUCUUCCCUAAGGAAAAAGCCAGUUUCAGUCUAUUUGUAAAUUCAUUUCCACUUUCCUUACUCCCUAUAAAUUUCUGCUUUUCAGAUUUCUCCUUUGUUAACGUCUGCCUGGUUCCCUCAUUAAGUCAAAUAAAAUCUUUAACACGUUAAA